UACAGCCAUAUCAUGUUGAAACCCCAGUUCCUAUAAAAUCACAGAAACUAAGCAACAUCAAGCCAAGUCAGUACCUGGAUGGGUGACCACUUUGGAAUACCAAGUGUUGUAAG